GCCAGGUGCAAUGGACAUUCCUGUAGUUUCAGCUACUCAAGAGGCUGAGGCAGGAGGAUCACUCGAGUCCAAGAGAUCUGGGCUGUAGUGUACUCUGCCAGUCAAAUACCUGCACUAAGUUUGGCAUCAGUAUGGCGACGUCUGUGAUGUGGGGGACCACCAGGUUGCCUAAGGAGGAAUUAACCAGCCCAGGUUAGAAACAGAGCAGGUCAAAUUUUUGUGAUGAUCAGUAGUGGGAUUAUGCCUGUGAAUAGUCACUGCACUCCAGUUUGGGCAACAUAGCAAGACCUCAUCUCUA
ensembl:misc_RNA Metazoa_SRP Metazoan signal recognition particle RNA